UUUAACUGAGCGUUCAGUUACUUGACGUAGACCCGAAACCGGGCGACCUACCCAUGAGCAGGAUGAAGCGAAAGUAAAAUUUCGUGGAGGUCCGAACCCACGAGCGUUGAAAAGCUCGGGGAUGACUUGUGGGUAGCGGUGAAAUUCCAAUCGAGCCCGGAGAUAGCUGGUUCUCCCCGAAAUAGCUUUAGGGCUAGCCUCAAGGUGAGAGAUACGGAGGUAGAGCACUGAAUGUCCUAGGGGGUAUUGCACCUACCGAAGACUAUCAAACUCCGAAUGCCGUCAUCUUAUACUUGGGAGUCAGACUGUGGGUGAUAAGAUUCAUAGUCGAAAGGGCAACAGCCCAGAUCGUCAGCUAAGGUCCCUAAAUGUAAGUUAAGUGGUAAAGGAUGUGGGAUUGCACAGACAACCAGGAUGUUGGCUUAGAAGCAGCCACUCAUUCAAAGAGUGCGUAAUAGCUCACUGGUCGAGUGAUCCUGCGCCGAAGAUUUCCGGGGCUAAAACUUACUACCGAAGCUACGGCAUCAGUAAUGAUGGGUAGGGGAGCUUCCCAUACGGGUUGAAGCAUGACCGUAAGGACAUGUGGACAGUAUGGGAGUGAGAAUGUUGGCAUGAGUAGCGAGAUGUGGGUGAGAAUCCCACAGGCCGUAAACCCAAGGUUUCCAGGGGAAGGUUCGUCCGCCCUGGGUUAGUCGGGACCUAAGCUGAGGCCGAAAGGC
rnacentral:rRNA from 1 species